rnacentral:rRNA from 1 species
UACGAAGGGUGCAAGCGUUAAUCGGAAUUACUGGGCGUAAAGGGUGCGUAGGCGGUUGUUUAAGUCUGGCGUGAAAUCCCCGGGCUCAACCUGGGAAUGGCGAUGGAAACUGGGCAGCUAGAGUGUGUCAGAGGAUGGUGGAAUUCCCGGUGUAGCGGUGGAAUGCGUAGAGAUCGGGAAGAACAUCAGUGGCGAAGGCGGUCUGCUGGGCCGUUGCUGACGCUGAGGCGCGACAGCGUGGGGAGCAAACAGG